AUUGAACGCUGGCGGCAUGCCUUACACAUGCAAGUCGAACGGCAGCACGGGUGCUUGCACCUGGUGGCGAGUGGCGAACGGGUGAGUAAUACAUCGGAACGUACCUUAUCGUGGGGGAUAACGCAGCGAAAGCUGUGCUAAUACCGCAUACGCCCUGAGGGGGACAGCGGGGGAUCGCAAGACCUCGCGCGAUUAGAGCGGCCGAUGCUUGAUUAGCUAGUUGGUGGGGUAAAAGCCCACAAAGCCCACGAUCAGUCGCUGGUCUGAGAGGACGAUCAGCCGCACGGGGAGUGCGACACGAGCCAGACACCUACGGGAGGCAGCAGGGGGGAAAUUUGGACAAUGGGGGCAACCAUGAACCAGCAAUGCAGCGUGAGUUAAGAAGGCGUUCGGGUUGUAAAGCUCUUUUGUCAGGGAAGAAACACCGGCUCUAACACAGUCCGGGAAUGACGGUACCUGAAGAAUAAGCACCGGCUAACUACGUGCCAGCCGCCGCAGUAA
rnacentral:rRNA from 1 species